CCCUUAGAUGUUCUGGGCCGCACGCGCGCUACACUGAUGCAUUCAACGAGUCUAAAACCUGGUCUGAGAGGGCUGGGUAAUCUUUUGAAAGUGCAUCGUGAUUGGGAUAGAUGAUUGCAAUUCUUCAUCUUCAACGAGGAAUGCCUAGUAAACGCAAGUCAUCAGCUUGCAUUGAUUACGUCCCUGCCCUUUGUACACACCGCCCGUCGCUCCUACCGAUUGAACGAUCCGAUGAAAACUGUGGAUUGAGGGUCUGAGUGGGUUCGCCUACCUCAACUUUCGAGAAGCGGUUUAAAUCUUAUCGUUUAGAGGAAGGAGAAGUCGUAACA
rnacentral:rRNA from 1 species